GAUGAACGCUGACAGAAUGCUUAACACAUGCAAGUCGAUGGGGAAGUGGUGCUUGCCCCAUGGCAACCAUGGCGGACGGGUGAGUAACGCGUAAGGGACUUACCUGCAGGGCUGGGAUAACAGGGGGAAACUCCUGACAAGACCGGAUAAUGUCAUGGAGCUGCAUGGCUUUAUGAUGAAAGGAGACGCCUGCGGAGAGCCUUGCGUCCUAUUAGCUAGUUGGUGAGGUAAUGGCUCACCAAGGCGAAGAUAGGUAGCCGGCCUGAGAGGGUGGACGGCCACAAGGGGACUGAGAUACGGCCCUUACUCCUACGGGAGGCAGCAGUGGGGAAUAUUGGACAAUGGGGGCAACCCUGAUCCAGCAAUUCUGUGUGCACGAAGAAGGUUUUCGGAUUGUAAAGUGCUUUCAGCAGGGAAGAAGUAAGUGACGGUACCUGCAGAAGAAGCGACGGCUAAAUACGUG
rnacentral:rRNA from 1 species